rnacentral:rRNA from 1 species
GUACUAGUAAUAAACUAGCUCGUGUUCCAGCAGUCGAGACUGAGAGGUCGAUCGACCACAUUGGGUAUGAAAAAAGCCCAAGGCGAACAGCACAGCAGUGAGGAAUAUUGGUCAAUGGUCUAACGACUGAACCAGCAAUUUGGAAGAACGUAUAAUAAAUAAAUUAUUUAAAGUUCUAGAUAAAAUAUUUAUAAUGACUAUUUUUUAUCUAUAAGUCUUGGCCAAAUUACGUGCCAGCAGUCGCGGUAAUACGUAAAAGACGAGUGUUAUUCAUCUUUAAUCGGUUUAAAGGGUACCUAGACGGAAAAUCAAGCUUAAUUAAACUAAGGACUAGUUUUCUAGAGUUUGACAUGAGAAGGUACGAACUAUCAGAGGAGAGAUAAAAUUUGUUGAUACUGGUGGGACGGACAACGGCGAAGGCAAUCUUCUACUAAAAACUG